rnacentral:rRNA from 1 species
CCUACGGGAGGCUGCAGUGAGGAAUAUUGGUCAAUGGCCGUAAGGCUGAACCAGCCAAGUCGCGUGAAGGAAGAAGGAUCUAUGGUUUGUAAACUUCUUUUAUAGGGGAAUAAAGGUAUCCACGUGUGGAUAUUUGCAUGUACCCUAUGAAUAAGCAUCGGCUAACUCCGUGCCAGCAGCCGCGGUACUACGGAGGAUGCGAGCGUUAUCCGGAUUUAUUGGGUUUAAAGGGUGCGUAGGUUGUUUUUUAAGUCAGCGGUGAAAGUUUGUGGCUCAACCAUAAAAUUGCCGUUGAAACUGGAAGACGUGAGUGUGUUUGAGGUAGGCGGAAUGCGUGGUGUAGCGGUGAAAUGCAUAGAUAUCACGCAGAACUCCGAUUGCGAAGGCAGCUUACUAAGCCAUAACUGACACUGAAGCUCGAAAGCGUGGGGAUCAAACAGGAUUAGAUACCCGAGUAGUC